rnacentral:rRNA from 1 species
GAUGAACGCUAGCGGCAGGCUUAACACAUGCAAGUCGAGGGGUAUUGGUUUUCGGACCAAGAGACCGGCGCACGGGUGCGUAACGCGUAUGCAAUCUACCUUUUGCAGAGGGAUAGCCCCAGAGAAAUUUGGAUUAAUACCUCAUAGUAUAGUACUUUGGCAUCAAGGAACUAUUAAAGUCACAACGGCAAAGAUGAGCAUGCGUCCCAUUAGCUAGUUGGUAAGGUAACGGCUUACCAAGGCUACGAUGGGUAGGGGUCCUGAGAGGGAGAUCCCCCACACUGGUACUGAGACACGGACCAGACUCCUACGGGAGGCAGCAGUGAGGAAUAUUGGACAAUGGGCGAAAGCCUGAUCCAGCAAUGCCGCG